GUCUCAGGCCGUAUCAGCCUGAAGGCGCCCGAUCUCGUCUGAUCUCGGAAGCUAAGCAGGGUCGGGCCUUGGUUAGGAUCUUGGAUGGGAGACCACCUGGGAAGUCCCGGGUGCUCGAGGUC
rnacentral:rRNA from 1 species